UGAUCUGUAGUUCAGUUGGCAGAACAAGGCACUGUUAAUGCCUGGGUCGUAGGUUCGAGUCCUACCAGAUCAG
rnacentral:tRNA from 1 species